rnacentral:rRNA from 1 species
GACGAACGCUGGCGGCGUGCUUAACACAUGCAAGUCGAGCGGUAAGGCCCUUUCGGGGGUACACGAGCGGCGAACGGGUGAGUAACACGUGGGUGACCUGCCCUUAGCUCUGGGAUAAGCCUGGGAAACUGGGUCUAAUACCGGAUAUGAUUCCAUGACGCAUGUUGUGGGGUGGAAAGCCUUGUGCGGCUAGGGAUGGGCCCGCGGCCUAUCAGCUUGUUGGUGGGGUGAUGGCCUACCAAGGCGACGACGGGUAGCCGGCCUGAGAGGGCGACCGGCCACACUGGGACUGAGACACGGCCCAGACUCCUACGGGAGGCAGCAGUGGGGAAUCUUGCGCAAUGGGCGAAAGCCUGACGCAGCGACGCCGCGUGGGGAUGACGGCCUCGG